AGUAUAAUCACAAAUAAUAAAUUUUUAUUUUUUUACUCAAAAAGAAAUGUAGUUAGGAAGGAAGGUAAUUGUUAUACACAAAUAUCUAUCCUAUCACAUCAUCCUUACCCUACACAUGAUUAGGGAUCAUUACAGAAGUCCUCUUUUUGUAACUCUUUUAACUGAGCUUCACGAUACUUCUUCAUAGCUUCUCAACCCUCAAAUCAGCCUGUUGAUUUGAAUUAGCUGUUAAUAUGAAAAAGAAAUAAUAGAGUAUGAGCAAAAAGUUAUAGUGAAAGUGUAUUAUAAAGAUAAGCCCACCAUUUGUCAACUCAAUCUUUAGUGAAGAAUAUUUGCUUUUGUAUUUCAAAGACACCGCUAAAUUCUCCCUCUGAAAACCUAGUUUACAAAACUAAUCACAAAAGGUUUUACUAUCUCAAAAUUUUACAAUGAAUUGAUAAAUGCUCUCAAUAUCCGGUACAUAAACCUAUACAAGCUUUUGAAAUAUAUAGAAAUUUUUUCAAGACUUGCUAACAUAUUAAAAACCAAUCACAAUCUCUUCUAAAGAACAAGUGAAAUAGCUAAAUACAAUGUUAUAAUAAUGACCAAAGCAAAGGGAUUGUUAGACGAUAAGUCUUCAAGUUUUGUCCCAAUCCAAUAUACCUGAUCUAAAGGAUUUGGUACAAUCUAUCCGAUCCUAAAGAUAUUUUUAUUCAAGAGAAUUGAUAUUCAUUGAUGAGUUUGAAUAAUCUCAUGAUAUCAAUAUAGCCCAAAGAUUCGUUUCAAUAAAUUGACAACCUUCCGAAUAAGGCAAGUUGAUCUCUAUUGCAGUGAUGAUGAAAGUGAGCACUUCCAUUAGUACAUUGUCGUUACUUCAAAACUUGCUCAACACAAUCAUUUGCGACUCUCAAGCUAUCGAGUGAACAACCUUUGAUUUUCUCAUCACAUUUUUAUGCCAACAAUAAUGUAACAUUAAUUGAUUCUUUUGUGACUCUCAAGCCAUCUUAUAAAUUGCCUCUAACUUCCUCGUCACAUUUUUCAUUAACAAUAAUGUACAAACCAACUAAAUUUUUUUAAAAAAAAUCCAUGUAACACCCCUAACACAUAUCCAUCGCCAGAAUAGGGUUAAAGGGCAUUACCGGAGUUUACAAAUUAAUUUACAAACAUUUCAUUAUUUCAUCAAGCAUUCAUAUUUAUAACCAAUCAAAAUCAAAACAUUAAUGAGCUAACGUUGGCCAAUUUAACUUAUUCAUGCCAUUAUAACCAGAAUCAAAUCAUCCAAAAUUACUGAUAGAACCAAUGGAUAGUGUGAUAAACAUUCAUACAUCCAUUCAAUGCAUUAUUCCCCUUUUUAUCAAAUAUAUCAAUGUUUCAUCAAUUUUCAUACAAUGAACAUUCAAAUCAUAUUCACAUCAAUAACAUACAUUUCAAGCAUUUAAGAAUAUAAUUCAAGUUACACGAACUUACCAGACUAAAUUGCAGAAAUACCAAAAAUUCAGGGACAUUUUGGUAAUUUUCUAUUUUCCUCGAAUUUCCACCCAAUCAUCAUCUAAAUUAAUAUUUCAUUCAAUUUAUUAAUUUAAAUAAAAAAAAUUCAUUUCAUGCAAUUUGGUCACUUUUUGACAUUUUUACCAAUUUACCCUUGAAAUAUUACUUUUAUUCAAUUUAGUCCUUGAACCUAAAACAUGCAAAUUGGUCAUUUUUAAUGAAAACUCAUGUUAGUUGAAUAAUCAUUUAUUUUCCUCCUCCUCCUCUCCAUUCCACAUCCUUAAUGUAUAAUAUGCUUAUAUAUAACAUUAUCUAUAAUUCCACCAUUUAUUUAUAUAUUAAUUCAAAGCUGUCCACUUGAGUCAUAGUCACUAAAUUAUUUAUAUCUUGAGCUACGGAACUCCAAAUUAAGAUCCGCUAAAUUCCUAUGAAACUAGGCUCAAUAUCCUUUUAUUAUAAAAUUUUCAUAAUUUUUUGUUUAGCCAAUAAGUACAGUUUAUUCUUUAAAGUUUCCCCUGUUUCACUGUUUGACAGUUCCGACCCCUCUUCAUAAAAAAAAUAAUUAUCUCUUUGUACAGAAUUUGGAUGAUGUUUCCGUUUAUUUCUAUUGAAAAUAGACUCAUUCAGGAUUUUAAACAUAUAAAUUUAAGCCUCUAAAUAUUUUUAUUCAAUUUUUGAUGAUUUUCCAAAGUCAAAACAGGGGAACCCGAAUUCAUUCUGAUCUUGUCUCACAAAAUUUAUUAUAUCUCAUGAUUUACAAUUCCAUUACUUACACCGUUUCUUCUAUGAGAAACUAAACUUAAUAAGCUUUAAUUCUAUAUUUUUUUUCAUCCUCUAAUUCGAUUUCCACAAUUUAUGGUGAUUUUUCAAAGUUAACCUACUACUGCUGUCCAAAACUGUUUUAGUGCAAAGAUGUUAAUUACUAAAUUUAUAACUCCCUUAUUCCCUUUCUCUAUAAUAUUUCCCAUUAUUUUCACUUAUUUCCCUUCACUAAUAUAUCAAGAACAUAAUACUUUAUUUAAGAAAACUCUACUGUAACAUCAUUUCCAUACUUUUUCAACAAUAACAAACUUAAAAGUAUAUUGAAAUCUUGAUGUUCUUACCUUAUGCUAUUGAUUUCAAUUUUUAACUUGAUUUUCUCUCGCCUCCAGCUUCUAUUUCUUGAAUCUAACUUGACAUUCUAGCUCCCCAUCGUCUCCUUAUUA
rnacentral:lncRNA from 1 species